rnacentral:rRNA from 1 species
UACGGGGGGGGUAAGCGUUGUUCGGAAUUACUGGGCGUAAAGGGCUCGUAGGCGGCCAACUAAGUCGGACGUGAAAUCCCUCAGCUUAACUGGGGAACUGCGUCUGAUACUGGAUGGCUUGGAUUUGGGAGAGGGAUGCGGAAUUCCAGGUGUAGCGGUGAAAUGCGUAGAUAUCUGGAGGAACACCGGUGGCGAAGGCGGCAGCCUGGACCAACAUUGACGCUGAGGAGCGAAAGCCAGGGGAGCAAACGGG